GGUCAAUUAACUCAGUGGUAGAGUGUCGCCUUCACACGGCGGAAGUCACUGGUUCGAGCCCAGUAUUGACCA
rnacentral:tRNA from 1 species